rnacentral:ribozyme from 1 species
UGCCCAGCAACUCCUAUUCCUACCUCCUCGUGGUAUCGGCCGGAAACCAUAGGGAAGUUCGGGUAACCAACCCCGGUGGGAACUUUGGUCGUAGGCUGACAGGGAAGG